rnacentral:rRNA from 1 species
UGGGGAAUAUUGGACAAUGGGCGCAAGCCUGAUCCAGCAAUGCCGCGUGUGUGAAGAAGGCCUUCGGGUUGUAAAGCACUUUUGUCCGGAACGAAAAGCGAUGGAUUAAUACUCUGUCGUGCUGACGGUACCGGGUGAAUAAGCACCGGCUAACUUCGUGCCAGCAGCCGCGGUAAUACGAAGGGUGCAAGCGUUAAUCGGAAUUACUGGGCGUAAAGCGUGCGUAGACGGCCUGUUAAGUCGGAUGUGAAAGCCCCGGGCUCAACCUGGGAAUGGCAUCCGAUACUGGUGGGCUAGAGUGCGGUAGAGGAGAGCGGAAUUCCCGGUGUAGCGGUGAAAUGCGUAGAGAUCGGGAGGAACAUCCGUGGCGAAGGCGGCUCUCUGGACCAGCACUGACGUUGAGGCACGAAAGCGUGGGGAGCAAACAG